rnacentral:rRNA from 1 species
GGAAUUCAGAUUCAGGCCUAACACAUGCAAGUCGAACGGUAGAGGGGCAACCCUUGAGAGUGACGAACGGGUGAGUAAUACAUCGGAACGUGCCCAGUCGUGGGGGAUAACGUAGCGAAAGCUACGCUAAUACCGCAUACGACCUGAGGGUGAAAGCGGGGGAUCGCAAGACCUCGCGCGAUUGGAGCGGCCGAUGGCAGAUUAGGUAGUUGGUGGGGUAAAGGCCUACCAAGCCUGCGAUCUGUAGCUGGUCUGAGAGGACGACCAGCCACACUGGGACUGAGACACGGCCCAGACUCCUACGGGAGGCAGCAGUGGGGAAUUUUGGACAAUGGGCGCAAGCCUGAUCCAGCCAUGCCGCGUGCGGGAAGAAGGCCUUCGGGUUGUAAACCAAAGUGUCAGGGAAGAAAUCUUCUGGGCUAAUACCUCGGGAGGAUGACGGU